CACCUUCAUACUUGCUAUCAUUUGCAGGCAAUAUAGACUUUGAUCCAAACUCCUUGCAAAAUAUUCUACCUAAAGCAGUCUUAUCAUUGGAAUGGACAAUCUCAGAGGGAAAAUGAAGAGUUUAUGUGCAUUGUACUGCUGGACUUGGGAGAACACCAGGGGUGGCAAUAGCUUAUUUGUUCUGAUUCUAUGACAUGAAUGUUUAAAUAGGUUGCAGCUUUAAAUUUGUUGAAGCAUUAAUCUUAUGUUACGGGUUACGGAAUUCCCUCCGGGAUUGCCGGCAUGAAGUCUCAAGACGGUGUGAACUCGAAUGUGGGGAUCACUUGCAUGAAGUUUCAAGAAGGCACGAAUUAAGGAAACUUGAGAACAAAAUUGUCUAGUUUCAUAACAAUCUCUCAACAGUUACCAACCUCUAUUGUAUAAUUUUAGAUGGUUCUUGAAUGCCAUUCACAUUCUGCUUGUCACUCGUGGUGACGUGUGAAGAUAUUUUUCUAAAGUGCCAAGGACAAAAAUAUCUUAAAACGGUCUUCAUUUA